GACGGACGCUGGCGGCGUGCCUAAUACAUGCAAGUUGAGCGAUGAAGCUUGGUGCUUGCACCAAUUUGAAGAGCAGCGAACGGGUGAGUAACGCGUGGGGAAUCUGCCUUUGAGCGGGGGACAACAUUUGGAAACGAAUGCUAAUACCGCAUAAUAACUUUAAACAUAAGUUUUAAGUUUGAAAGAUGCAAUUGCAUCACUCAAAGAUGAUCCCGCGUUGUAUUAGCUAGUUGGUGAGGUAAAGGCUCACCAAGGCGAUGAUACAUAGCCGACCUGAGAGGGUGAUCGGCCACAUUGGGACUGAGACACGGCCCAAACUCCUACGGGAGGCAGCAGUAGGGAAUCUUCGGCAAUGGACGAAAGUCUGACCGAGCAACGCCGCGUGAGUGAAGAAGGUUUUCGGAUCGUAAAACUCUGUUGGUAGAGAAGAACGUUGGUGAGAGUGGAAAGCUCAUCAAGUGACGGUAACUACCCAGAAAGGGACGGCUAACUACGUG
rnacentral:rRNA from 1 species